GAUAAUGAUCAAUUCAUGUUUAAUAUUUCUGAAAGAUUUACUAUGCAGCAAGAGCAAUGCAAAGAAGCAGGAGUGGGAGGCAGAAAGGAAAGGAGAAAAGCUUGUUGAGGAAUCAAAUAUUUGAGAGAAACAUUAUCUGGAGAACUCAUUGCAUCCACCUGUAAGAGAAGUUUUGUUCUCAAGACUCUAUUCCUUCAUGAGCUCUAGUGACUUCAUCUGGGAAGUAAAGAUGUUGUGAAAUGGUUUGGAAGAAAGUGCAUACUGCAAAAUAAAUGAGGAGGCAAGAGAGAGGUAAAGAAUAUACAGAAGACAUAAGAG